rnacentral:tRNA from 1 species
UGCCAGGUGGUCCAGUGGCACGGACAGCCGGCUGUUACCCGGAGGACGAAGGUUCGACCCCUUCCCUGGCAG